rnacentral:rRNA from 1 species
AUUGAACGCUGGCGGCAGGCCUAACACAUGCAAGUCGAGCGGAUGAAGGGAGCUUGCUCCUGGAUUCAGCGGCGGACGGGUGAGUAAUGCCUAGGAAUCUGCCUGGUAGUGGGGGAUAACGUCCGGAAACGGGCGCUAAUACCGCAUACGUCCUGAGGGAGAAAGUGGGGGAUCUUCGGACCUCACGCUAUCAGAUGAGCCUAGGUCGGAUUAGCUAGUUUGUGGGGUAAAGGCCUACCAAGCCGACGAUCCGUAACUGGUCUGAGAGGAUGAUCAGUCACACUGGAACUGAGACACGGUCCAGACUCCUACGGGAGGCAGCAGUGGGGAAUAUUGGACAAUGGGCGAAAGCAUGAUACAGCCAUGGCGAGUGUGUGAAGAAGGUCUUCGGAUUGUAAAGAACUUUAAGUUGGGAGGAAGGGCAGUAAGUUAAUACCUUGCUGUUUUGACGUUACCAACAGAAUAAGCACCGGCUAACUUCGUG